rnacentral:rRNA from 1 species
UACAGAGGUUUCAAGCGUUGUUCGGAUUCAUUGGGCGUAAAGGGCGCGUAGGCGGCGCGGUAAGUCGGGUGUGAAAUCUCGGAGCUUAACUCCGAAACUGCAUUCGAUACUGCCGUGCUUGAGGACUGGAGAGGAGACUGGAAUUUACGGUGUAGCGGUGAAAUGCGUAGAUAUCGUAAGGAAGACCAGUGGCGAAGGCGGGUCUCUGGACAGUUCCUGACGCUGAGGCACGAAGGUCAGGGGAGCAAACGGG